rnacentral:rRNA from 1 species
GACGAACGCUGGCGGCGUGCCUAAUACAUGCAAGUAGGACGCAGUUGCGAACGGGUGAGUAACGCGUAGGUAACUGCCUAUUAGAGGGGGAUAACUAUUGGAAACGAUAGCUAAUACCGCAUACUAGUAGAUGGACCUGCGUUGUAUUAGCUAGUAGGUAGGGUAAUGGCGUACCUAGGCGACGAGACAUAGCCGACCUGUGAGGGGGAGCGGCGACAAGAGGACGGAGACACGGCCCAGACUCCUACGGGGGGCAGCAGUAGGGAAUCGUCGGCAAUGGGGGGAACACUGACCGAGCAAAGCCGCGUGAGUGAAGAAGGUUUUCGGAUCGUAAAGCUCUGUUGUUAAGGAAGCGGUACUUAACCAGAAAGGGACGGCUAACUACGUGCCAGCCGCCGCGGUAAUAC